GGUUAAGCGACUAAGCGUACACGGUGGAUGCCCUGGCAGUCAGAGGCGAUGAAGGGCGUGCUAAUCUGCGAUAAGCGCCGGUAAGGUGAUAUGAACCGUUAUAACCGGCGAUACCCGAAUGGGGAAACCCAGUGUGAUUCGUCACACUAUCAUUAACUGAAUCCAUAGGUUAAUGAGGCGAACCGGGGGAACUGAAACAUCUAAGUACCCCGAGGAAAAGAAAUCAACCGAGAUUCCCCCAGUAGCGGCGAGCGAACGGGGAGGAGCCCAGAGCCUGAAUCAGCAUGUGUGUUAGUGGAAGCGUCUGGAAAGGCGCGCGAUACAGGGUGACAGCCCCGUACACAAAAGC
rnacentral:rRNA from 1 species